rnacentral:rRNA from 1 species
UACGAACCGUUCCGUAGGUGAACCUGCGG